AUUGAACGCUGGCGGCAUGCCUUACACAUGCAAGUCGAACGGCAGCGGGGACUUCGGUCCGCCGGCGAGUGGCGAACGGGUGAGUAAUGUAUCGGAACGUACCAUUGAGUGGGGGAUAACUAUCCGAAAGGAUAGCUAAUACCGCAUAUUCUCUCCGGAGGAAAGCAGGGGACCGCAAGGCCUUGCGCUCAUUGAGCGGCCGAUAUCAGAUUAGCUAGUUGGUGAGGUAAAGGCUCACCAAGGCGACGAUCUGUAGCGGGUCUGAGAGGAUGAUCCGCCACACUGGGACUGAGACACGGCCCAGACUCCUACGGGAGGCAGCAGUGGGGAAUCUUGGACAAUGGGCGCAAGCCUGAUCCAGCAAUGCCGCGUGGGUGAAGAAGGCCUUCGGGUUGUAAAGCCCUUUUGUUUGGGAGCAAAUCCUACUGGUUAAUACCUGGUGGGGAUGAGAGUACCAAAAGAAUAAGCACCGGCUAACUACGUGCCAGCAGCCGCCGUAAUAC
rnacentral:rRNA from 1 species